rnacentral:rRNA from 1 species
CAAUAGCGUAUAUUAAAGUUGUUGCGGUUAAAAGCUCGUAGUUGGAUUUCUGUUGAGGAUGGACGGUCCGCACUAAGUGCGUGUAUCUGUUACAGCCUCGGCAUCCUCUAGGAGAACGGCGCUGUGAUUCAUUUCAUGGUCCGGAAUUCUAGACUUUUACUUUGAGGAAAUUAGAGUGUUCAAAGCAGGCAACCGCUCUGAAUACAUUAGCAUGGAAUAACGCUAUAGGACUCUGGUCCUAUUGUGUUGGUCUUCGGGACCGGAGUAAUGAUUAAGAGGGACAGUUGGGGGCAUUCGUAUUUCAUUGUCAGAGGUGAAAUUCUUGGAUUUAUGAAAGACGAACUUCUGCGAAAGCAUUUGCCAAGGAUGUUUUCAUUAAUCAAGAACGAAAGUUGGGGGCUCGAAGAUGAUCAGAUACCGU